GGUUAAGUUAACAAGGGCGCAUGGUGAAUGCCUUGGCACUAGGAGCCGAUGAAGGACGGGACUAACACCGAUAUGCUUCGGGGAGCUGUACGUAAGCUAUGAUCCGGAGAUUUCCGAAUGGGGCAACCCAGCAGUUUUAAUCAACUGUUACCACUAGAUGAAUUCAUAGUCUAGUUGGAGGUAAACGCUGUGAACUGAAACAUCUCAUUAGCAGCAGGAAUAUAAAGAAAUUUCGAUUCCCUAAGUAGCGGCGAGCGAACGGGGAACAGCCCAAACCAAAGUGCUUGCACUUUGGGGUUGUAGGACUGAACAUUUGAGUUACCAAAGAACUUGAUAGUCGAAGGAUUUGGGAAAAUCCGCCAUAGAUGGUGAUAGCCCAGUAGAUUAAAUCAAAUUCUCUCAGUUCAGGAUCCUGAGUACGGCGGAACACGUGAAAUUCCGUCGGAAUCCGGGAGGACCAUCUCCCAAGGCUAAAUACUACCUAGUGACCGAUAGUGAACCAGUACCGUGAGGGAAAGGUGAAAAGCACCCCGGGAGGGGAGUGAAAUAGUUCCUGAAACCAUGUGCCUACAAUAAGUCAGAGCGCGUUAAUGCGUGAUGGCGUGCCUUUUGUAGAAUGAACCGGCGAGUUAUGAUCCCGUGCAAGGUUAAGACUAAAAAGUCGGAGCCGUAGCGAAAGCGAGUCUGAAAUGGGCGUUUUGAGUACGAGGUUAUAGACCCGAAACCAGGUGACCUAUCCAUGUCCAGGUUGAAGGUGCGGUAAAACGCACUGGAGGACCGAACCCGUGUAAGUUGAAAAUUGCUGGGAUGAGGUGUGGAUAGCGGUGAAAUUCCAAACGAACUUGGAGAUAGCUGGUUCUCUCCGAAAUAGCUUUAGGGCUAGCCUCGGAAUUAGGAUCAUGGAGGUAGAGCACUAUUUGGACUAGGGGCCCGUCUUGGGUUACUGAAUUCAGAUAAACUCCGAAUGCCAUUGAUUCAUAUCCGGGAGUCAGACGAUGAGUGAUAAGAUCCACCGUCGAAAGGGGAACAGCCCAGACCAUCAGUUAAGGUCCCUAAAUGUAUGCUAAGUGGAAAAGGAUGUGGAGUUGCAUAGACAACUAGGAUGUUGGCUCAGAAGCAGCCACCAUUUAAAGAGUGCGUAAUAGCUCACUAGUCGAGUGAUCCUGCGCCGAAAAUGUACCGGGGCUAAGCAUACUACCGAAACCAUGGAUGCGACCAUUAGGUCGCGUGAUAGGAGAGCGUUCUAAGGGCGGUGAAGCAAGAUCGUGAGGACUUGUGGAGCGCUUAGAAGUGAGAAUGCCGGUAUGAGUAGCGAAAGAUAGGUGAGAAUCCUAUCCACCGAAUGACUAAGGUUUCCUGGGGAAGGCUCGUCCUCCCAGGGUUAGUCGGGACCUAAGUCGAGGCCGAGAGGCGUAGACGAUGGAUAACAGGUUGAGAUUCCUGUACUAGUUAAGUGCGUUUGAGCAAUGGAGGGACGCAGGAGGCUAAGAUGUGCAUUCUGUUGGAUUAGAAUGUCCAAGCAGUAAGUCUUGUGAAGAGUCAAAUGCUUUUCACUUUAAGGACAAGCUGUGAUGGGGAGCGAAAUUUAGUAGCGAAGCGUCUGAUGUCACACUGCCGAGAAAAGCUUCUAGUGAGUACUUAACUACCCGUACCGCAAACCGACACAGGUAGUCGAGGAGAGAAUCCUAAGGUGAGCGAGUGAACUCUCGUUAAGGAACUCGGCAAAAUGACCCCGUAACUUCGGGAGAAGGGGUGCUGAUCGCAAGAUCAGCCGCAGUGAAUAGGCCCAGGCGACUGUUUAUCAAAAACACAGGUCUCUGCAAAAUCGUAAGAUGACGUAUAGGGGCUGACGCCUGCCCGGUGCUGGAAGGUUAAAAGGAUGGGUUAGCUUCGGCGAAGCUCAGAAUUGAAGCCCCAGUAAACGGCGGCCGUAACUAUAACGGUCCUAAGGUAGCGAAAUUCCUUGUCGGGUAAGUUCCGACCCGCACGAAAGGCGUAACGAUCUGGGCACUGUCUCAACGAGAGACUCGGUGAAAUUAUAUUGUCCGUGAAGAUGCGGACUACCCGCGACAGGACGGAAAGACCCCAUGGAGCUUUACUGUAGCUUGAUAUUGAGUGUUUGUACAGCUUGUACAGGAUAGGUAGGAGCCAUAGAAACCGGAACGCUAGUUUCGGUGGAGGCGUUGGUGGGAUACUACCCUCGCUGUAUGACCACUCUAACCCGCACCACUAAUCGUGGUGGGAGACAGUGUCAGGUGGGCAGUUUGACUGGGGCGGUCGCCUCCUAAAAAGUAACGGAGGCGCCCAAAGGUUCCCUCAGAAUGGUUGGAAAUCAUUCGCAGAGUGUAAAGGCACAAGGGAGCUUGACUGCGAGACAGACAGGUCGAGCAGGGACGAAAGUCGGGCUUAGUGAUCCGGUGGUACCGUAUGGAAGGGCCAUCGCUCAACGGAUAAAAGCUACCCUGGGGAUAACAGGCUUAUCUCCCCCAAGAGUCCACAUCGACGGGGAGGUUUGGCACCUCGAUGUCGGCUCAUCGCAUCCUGGGGCUGUAGUCGGUCCCAAGGGUUGGGCUGUUCGCCCAUUAAAGCGGUACGCGAGCUGGGUUCAGAACGUCGUGAGACAGUUGGUCCCUAUCCGUCGCGGGCGUAGGAAAUUUGAGAGGACCUGUCCUUAGUACGAGAGGACCGGGAUGGACAUACCUCUGGUGUACCAGUUGUGCCGCCAGGCGCAUCGCUGGGUAGCUACGUAUGGAUGUGAUAAACGCUGAAAGCAUCUAAGUGUGAAACACACCUCGAGAUGAGAUUUCCCAUUCCUUUAUGGAAGUAAGACCCCUGAAAGAUGAUCAGGUAGAUAGGUUAGAAGUGGCAGUGCGGUGACGCAUGAAGCGGACUAAUACUAAUCGGUCGAGGACUUAACCAA
rnacentral:rRNA from 1 species